rnacentral:rRNA from 1 species
UACGUAGGGGGCAAGCGUUGUCCGGAAUCAUUGGGCGUAAAGCGCGUGUAGGCGGUUCGAUAAGUCUGCUGUGAAAGUCCAGGGCUCAACCCUGGGAUGCCGGUGGAUACUGUCGGGCUCGAGUCCGGAAGAGGCGAGUGGAAUUCCUGGUGUAGCGGUGAAAUGCGCAGAUAUCAGGAGGAACACCGGUGGCGAAGGCGGAUCUCUGGGCCUUACCUGACGCUCAGGUGCGAAAGCUAGGGGAGCGAACAGG